rnacentral:rRNA from 1 species
CCUACGGGUGGCAGCAGUGGGGAAUAUUGGGCAAUGGAGGCAACUCUUACCCAGCAAUGCCGCGUGAACGAAGAAGGUCUUCGGAUUGUAAAGUUCUUUAAUCGGGGACGAAAAAAAUGAUGGUACCCAAGGAAUAAGCCCCGGCUAACUACGUGCCAGCAGCCGCGGUAAUACGGAGGGGGCAAGCGUUGUUCGGGAUGACUGGGCGUAAAGGGUGUGUAGGCGGUGUAGCAAGUUAGAAGUGAAAUACCUAGGGCUUAACUCAGGUGCUGCUUCUAAAACUGCGAUACUUGAGUGCAGUAGAGGAAAGUGGAAUUCCUAGUGUAGCGGUGGAAUGCGUAGAUAUUAGGAGGAACAUCAGUGGCGAAGGCGACUUUCUGGACUGUAACUGACGCUGAGGCACGAAAGUGUGGGGAGCAAACAGGAUUAGAUACCCCUGUAGUC